AGCACCACCAUUCUCCCGUUCUAUUUGCUACUCCAGGAUAGUUAUCCAGAGAUGGAGAUCCUUUGGUUGCUGACAAGAGCCUGGGAACACAGGAAUAUUUCAGUAUACCGUUGGUAAAUAUCAGGAAGCAGAGCAGUGGUGUGGAUUAGGAAUGCGUUUCCUCAAUCAUUUAGGAUCACUGAAGAAAAGCUAUGAGGGACAUAUGAUCGGUCUUUAUAGUGAGGUUCUGGACAAAUUGGACAGAGUAAAGGAGUGUCUUCCAAAUGAGGAAUAAUGAUAACCACAACUGCAGAAAAGGAGGAGAGCUGGAAACAUCCUGCUGAAGGAAAGAGGCUGUUAGCUCUGCAAGGGCACGAGGGCACAGUGGAAAGGAAACCAGAAUCUCCCUCUUGUUGGCUAUUAAGUUAUGUGUUUAUUGAAUUCAUGUUAUUGUUUCCUUCUAGGAGAAUUUCAUUCUGUGGAGCUAUGUAGCAGAAAUAAAUACGUAAGUUUCUCUUGAGAUGGUUCUGCUGUUGUGUCACAGGUUAAUUGAAAUACCUGAUUUUAGUAGCAAGUGGCACUGUGAACGAUAAAAGUAUUCCAUUACCAGGCGUCUCCUUGGGAUGCCAUAGCUGCCAUGCUGCAUAAAUAUUUAUCAGAUGGUUUAGUUUUCAGUCCAUCUCAGUAGGGACGAGAAUUCAGAGCUGUUUGCCAGGAUCACAGUUUAGAACAGAAGAGAGCAGGUGCUAUCCAGCUCACAGAAAAAAGGCACAGCUUUUACAAUGUCCUGCUUUUUUUAUAGACUGCAGGCUGCAACAGUCAGAGCUCAGCAUGAAGUGCCCCCAGGUCCACAUAAAAACAAAGGCUGGUAAAUGGAUGGAUCCAACUACAGCUGGAUCACCUGAUCCCAUCUGAAAUUCAGCCUGGAUGAGGGAUGAUGGAGUGAGGUUAAGAGAUCUUAGUUCUGUGCAACCACUGCUGUUUAAUCAGCAGCUUCAGAAGUUGGAAAAUAAGUGGUCUGAGUGUUAUUUUCAGUACUGCAUUCCAUGACGUAUCUUGGUGUCCCCCUCCAGGGCAUAAAUCUUGGCUGCACUGUGAGUGCAUAUGAGCACAAGGUCAGAGUGUGUGCAUCUUCUGAUGUGCCCAGUCCUUCGGAAGAAAAUAACUGACUGGGAUGAAAAUAACACUGACAGGGAUGGGAGAAAGGGGCACUGCACUCCAAUGAAGGCUUUGGAAGGCUAAGUUCUGUGGGUUGUAGCAGCAGCUAAAUGUAUUUAUUAUAGGAGUUUAAAAAAAAAAACAACAAAACAAAACACAGAGCCACCAAAAAAUCUGAUAGGGUGCUUGAACAAAAACCACAGGUUCAGGGUAUCAGUGCCUAUUUAGAAGGUUAGGUGGGUAGCUGUCAUGGCUAGCACAUCCACACUGAUUGCUUUUCAGUGUGGGGAGUAAGAAGCCACAAGGCCCAACUAAGUAAAUAUGGAAGAUUCUGUCUUUCAUGUGAUUAGCCAUGCAUACAUUUGUUUGAUCUGUGCUAUACGUGGAUUCUUCUGCUGUUUCUGUAAGAGGAGAUUGAAGAUCUGAGGGACACUGCACCUACUGUCAUUUUGGGUCCUCAUGCUUGUUUACUAGAGAGCUAGAAGCGUUUUGCUGCUUGAGAUUUAGAUCUCUGCAAGCAGCUGUUUUCAGCUCUUAAUGCACUAUGUGCUGUCUGUCAGAGAAAGACCUCUGAACCCCUAAAAAGCCAGGCCUCAACAGUCACACUGAAUUCUGCUGGAGUCACAGUGUUGGAGACACGCUGCAUCCCGUGAACGUGGGCACCAUGGAUGCCAUACAGUUCAGGUACUCCUUGCUGCUGGUGCAUCUUUGCAGUGCCUGCCAGGCUGCCUCUAAUGAUGGCCCUCAGUUCUGACUUGCACAGGCAGGUGAGGAGGUCAUGUCUGCCCAGUAAGUAAGGUAGGUAAUUACAUACAGCCAGUGGAAGAUAGCAAGCAUUUAAUGUGUUUUUUGCCUACAGCCAGAACUGUUUGAUAUAUAUAUUUUUUUUAACAGCUCAGUUUGCUUUCUCUCUCAUGCUACAGACUUUAGCAGAAUGGACUUGCUAGUAACAGUACUUCUCAACUCUUUGCUGCUCAUGUUUUGCAUUGUGCAGUUUAUUCCAGGCUUCAUAUUUACCAUAGCUUUUAAAUAUAGCAAGAGUUCCUCUCCAGGUUGAAUCAAACCUUAAUGAGCUGGAUUCCCAGUGACCAUUCCCAACAGGUAGUUUGUGUGCAAACACCCUUCUUUGCAGGCUGAGUUUGCUGGUGUAGAUGCAGGCUGGUCUGUGCAGUGGGUGUUUUACUAGGCUGAGUGUCACUGUAGUCCCAUUAGGGAUAGAAGGGAAAACAAACUCAGUGCUGUUUGCUCCUCACGUCUUUUAUUGAUCAGCUUUGUGCCGCAGCUUGGUUUCUGCUUGGAGGAUCUGGGUGCUUGUCCUGAGGUGUGAGCAGAUCGCUCCAGGAGGUGGCAUUGCAGCAGUGGGUCCUGCUUUGCACAUGGCUGUGGAAACUACAGGGUGUGCUCUGUAAGUGCAGUGUUCCUCCCAGCCUCUGAGAACGCAGAUGUGUCCUCCAGGGCAGCACUUCACAAAUCCCUCUGCCUCAAGCCAGUACUUAUGCACUUUUUUUUUUUUCUUUACUAAUCUGACAACUUCUUAACUGUUUAGGGAGCAGCAGCAGCCUGGACUAGCAUGGGAAAUGCAGACUUGAAACGUCGCCCAGGGGAUGUGCUGGGAUAUCUCCCACCACAGGGAUUGAGCAUUUGUCAGUGCUAAGGCUGCAGUGUUCUGGAGAGGCAGAAGAGAGGCUGGGUUGGCCACUGGUGCUCAGGUCAAGCCCAGGAGAGUUGAAGUGAUUACAGUAAACAGAAAUCAAGUUAAUUGGAAGAGGACUGAAGCUCAUUAGGGGAUUGGGCAGAGGCUUUUGUCAAGUAGUAGCACUGGAACUAAGAAUAGGGAGGAAAUACCACGCUCAGCCCAGUGUGUCCCAGCCCCAUGCUGCGAGUCACUCCAUCAUCAUCAGCCCCUGCAGCUGCUGCACUGACCGACCCAAACAGCUCCACGGUUCUAAUUAGUGUUAAAAAAUCCAAGUCAAACACCGUGCCCUUCAUUUGGGAGGGAAGGGAUACAAAGGCACUGAAGUAGGAGUACCUAAGGGUGCUUCAUGGAGUGAGACUGCUUUAAUGUGACGAUAACUUCACCUCUUUGCAGCAGGUGCCCGAGUUCUGCUGAGGAAGGCAGAGAGGAGUAAUCCUUGAUGCUGCCAAGCACUGGGAGCAUGAAGAGGUGUCUGUAAGGCAUGCAGCCAUUCAGCUGCCUGCACAUCAGGCACCAAUGGGGAAAAAAAACCUUUGGAGAAAGCUAUUAUUAAAUAAUCUCCCAUCACCAUCCCACUUAGGCACUCCUGUGCUUAGUGAGGACUGCAGGGUUAAUGAACCACAGCUGCAGAGAUAGAAGUGUGCACUUGGAACAGAAAAGAGACCCUUCAAGAUUCUAAAAAGCAAAAGCCCUCUCACCUUUGAGAUGCUGAGCUCGGUGACACAGCAGCUUCAGCCAGGAAUGCUAACAACAUACCCAUUAAUCACACUUGUCUGCCAGCAACCACUCCUGCUCCCUGUAUUUAAAAAUACCAGCAGAAGAAACUGGUUGUCUUUACAACUUUUUGUCAUCUGAUGUAUAAAUAACACGUUAGGCUGAAAAAGGAUGCUGUGUUAGUGGGACUAUAUGUGUAUAUAUAUAUAUACAUACACACACGUGUAUAUUUAGACACGCACACUUUGCUGCCUUUACAUCCAGCACAGAAGCCAUUACACAGCAGCACAUAAACCCUAUUUGUAGAACCAGCCCCAUACAACUCAACCUGUGACACUGAUGGUGUCAUCCAACCCACAUCAAGCGGUGUGGCAACAACACGAGAGCUUUCCUGUGACCUCAGCAGGGCUGCACCUGAGGAAGGCUGCUUCCUUUCUUCUUUUCUCUUCCAGGCUGCUCUCAGUGAGCGCAUUACAGCACUUCUGCUUGCUGUCACAAAUCGCUCGGCUGAGCUCAGAAAGCAGAACUGGCACACAAAGAAAGACUCCACAAGAAGGGCUCAAAGGCAGAGCUCUUUGCAACUCUCUGUUUAUUAAAAAUAUACGUCUCCUUGGAAGAAACACCAGUAACCAACGAGCGUUGUGAUCGAUUUGUUUCUGUCAGCUAUGCCAUGGAGUACAUCAGCUUUUUCUCCAUGGGGCUCGAGGAGAGGACAGGCUAUUAGAAAAACAGCUGAGA